UGCAAAUGAUGUAUUUUUCUCACGAUGGUCUUCUGAGCCACUGAGGCUCUGAGGAUAACGCCUUAUGGCUUUGCUGAUGCAGCUUU